AGUGAACGCUGGCGGUAGGCCUAACACAUGCAAGUCGAACGGCAGCACAGUAAGAGCUUGCUCUUACGGGUGGCGAGUGGCGGACGGGUGAGGAAUACAUCGGAAUCUACUUUUUCGUGGGGGAUAACGUAGGGAAACUUAUGCUAAUACCGCAUACGACCUACGGGUGAAAGCAGGGGAUCUUCGGACCUUGCGCGAUUGAAUGAGCCGAUGUCGGAUUAGCUAGUUGGCGGGGUCAAGGCCCACCAAGGCGACGAUCCGUAGCUGGUCUGAGAGGAUGAUCAGCCACACUGGAACUGAGACACGGUCCAGACUCCUACGGGAGGCAGCAGUGGGGAAUAUUGGACAAUGGGCGCAAGCCUGAUCCAGCCAUACCGCGUGGGUGAAGAAGGCCUUCGGGUUGUAAAGCCCUUUUGUUGGGAAAGAAAAGCAGCAGGUUAAUACCCCGCUGUUCUGACGGUACCCAAAGAAUAAGCACCGGCUAACUUCGUG
rnacentral:rRNA from 1 species